AUUGAACGCUGGCGGAAUGCUUUACACAUGCAAGUCGAACGGCAGCCCGGGAGCUUGCUCCUGGUGGCGAGUGGCGAACGGGUGAGUAACAUAUCGGAACGUACCCCGUCGUGGGGGAUAACUAUCCGAAAGGAUAGCUAAUACCGCAUACGUCCUGAGGGAGAAAGCGGGGGAUCGCAAGACCUCGCGCGAUUGGAGCGGCCGAUAUCGGAUUAGCUAGUUGGUGGGGUAAAGGCUCACCAAGGCGACGAUCCGUAGCGGGUUUGAGAGGACGACCCGCCCCCCUGGAACUGAGACCCGGUCCAGACUCCUACGGGAGGCAGCAGUGGGGAAUUUUGGACAAUGGGGGCAACCCUGAUCCAGCCCUUCCGCGUGAGUGAAGAAGGCCUUCGGGUUGUAAAGCUCUUUCAGCAGGAACGAAACGGUUGGCUUUAAUAAAGUCGGCUAAUGACGGUACCUGCAGAAGAAGCCCCGGCUAACUACGUG
rnacentral:rRNA from 1 species